CCAUUAUAUAUGUGUGAAAACUGAAAAUAGUAUUACAUUUCAGCUAUAAUGUAUCUUGCAAUAAUGCACCCUGUACCAUACCUAAUGCACCACCCAGUUUUGAACUUUACCCUUCACUUCUAGGACUACGUCAGUUUCUAUUCUUCUCCAUUUUCCUGAUGCCAACUUUUGUAGUGCCUGAGAUUGUUUGUAGUUACAGAAUUUGACCAGAUUCUGGGAAUUGUUCCCUGUGAAAUCCCUGGCGGCAACGCCUGUACUGAAAUAAUAUCUAGAUGUGCUCCCUGCCACCAUUGGUAAUGAACCAAAUGAUCAAUAUGAUCGCCACCUAUGAUGAGUAUGAUGGCUGAACUGUACGUCACGAUGAUCAGAUCGUUUCUCCACUACAACAAGACAGGUUUGCUUGAGACCAUGUCCAGCGAAAGGGUGCAGCGGUUUGGAGUCUACAAGCCAGGGUACAAUACGGUUCGAGAAUUGUGGUAUUCGUGGACCAAAUUGCCAAGAACAAAUCACAACGAGGU